CGAGAGGACACAUCCCUGAGGUGCUCCUGUGUUGAUGGUGAUGCUGUUGGAGAAGCACCUGCCCACCCUCACCACCUGAGUUCUGCCAGUGAGGAAGUCCAACACCCACUCUUCAUGCAGAGGCAGCAGCUCCGCAUGUGGACGUCAUGACGUCUUCUCUCUAACCUGAACGACGUUGACAGAAAAUUCUGUUCAAUAUGGCUGCCCUUCUCGAGCGACUGGAGAACACAUUUGGAGAAACUUGCUGAAGGCCAAAGACAAAAAGACAGAAGAAAAAAAAAUUCAGACUGCAAUUAAUUUCAGGUGGAGACAGUAAACAUCGGCAACAUCGGCUGCAGACUCACCCACCCCCACUGCUGCUGUUUCACCUCUGACACCUCAGACACUUCACACCUCUUCUAUUCACCCUGCUCACUCCCCCCCACCCCCAACAACAGCAUCCAAUACACACUCAACACAAGGCUCCAGCCUGUCUCUCUCAACCACCCAGGUUAGGAGGGAACUGAGGAGGAUUAAUGGCAAGAAGGCAGCGGGCCCAGAUGGCAUCAGCUCGAGGGUCGUUAGGUCCUGUGCGGACCAACUGUGUGGGGUGAUGGAGCACCUCUUCAACCUGAGCCUGAGGCUGGGAAGAGUCCCACAGCUCUGGAAAACCUCCUGUGUUGUUCCAGUGCCAAAGACUUCACGCCCCAAGGACCUCAACAGCUACAGGCCGGUGGCUCUGACAUCCCACCUGAUGAAGACCCUGGAGCGGUUGGUCCUGGCUCAGCUUCGGCGCCUAACAAGCUCAUCACUAGACCCACUUCAGUUUGCCUACCAGCCUGGCAUUGGAGCAGAUGAUGCCGUCAUUCACCUCCUACAUCGUUCCCUCGCUCACCUGGAGACCGCUGGAAGCACUAUGAGAAUCAUGUUCUUUGAUUUCUCCAGUGCCUUCAACACCAUUCUUCCCUCGGCUCUGAAGGACAAGCUGGAGAACUCUGGAGUGGACCAUCACCUCACUACCUGGAUUCUGGACUACCUCACCGACCGACCACAGUAUGUGAGGACUCAGGGCUGUGUGUCGGACAGGGUCGUCUGCAGUACGGGGGCCCCACAGGGAACGGUUCUGGCUCCGUUCCUCUUCACCAUCUACACUGCAGACUUCUCCCACAACUCCACCCAGUGCUUCCUGCAGAAGUUCUCUGAUGACUCUGCAAUAGUCGGCCUCAUCACUGAUGGGGACGACAAGGAGUACAGAGGACUGACUCAAGACUUUGUGGACUGGUACUAGCUGAACUACCUCCAGAUCAACGCCAGUAAAACCAAGGAGCUGGUGGUAGACUUCCGCAGGCACAAGCAUUCUCCACUGCAACCACUGAACAUCCAAGGUAUGGACAUCGAGGCUGUGGACAGCUACAGGUACCUUGGUGUUCAUCUGAACAAUAGACUGGACUGGACUCAGACGCCCUCUACAGGAAAGGGCAGAGCAGGCUGUACCUGCUGCGGAGACUCAGGUCAUUUGGAGUGGAGGGCCCACUCCUGAAGACCUUCUAUGACUCUGUGGUGGCUUCUGCUAUCUUUUAUGGUGUGGUCUGCUGGGGCGGCAGCAUCUCUGCUGGGGACAGGAAGAGACUGAACAGGGUGAUCCAAAGGGCCAGCUCUGUCCUAGGAUGCCCUCUGGACCCAGUGGAGGUGGUGAGUGACAGGAGAAUGGCGGCUAAGCUGUCAUCCCUGUUGGACAACAUCUCCCACCCCAUGCAGCAGACUGUGACAGCACUGAGCAGCUCCUUCAGUGGGAGACUGCGGCACCCACGGUGUGGGACAGAGAGAUUUCGCAGGUCUUUCCUCCCCACUGCUGUCAGACUCCACAACAAAGACUUUAACUGAACAAACUCCCCACUGCUGUCAGACUCCACAACAAAGACUUUAACUGAACACACACACACAUCCAUACAUAUGCAAUAAUACUAAGUGCAAUAAUCUUUUCUGGCAUCGUUGUAUUUUUACUCAGUGUAUAUAGCAUUUGUAUUCUAUUUUUAUCUUAUUGUAUAUUUUUAUUCUAUUUUAUUCUACUGUAUAUAGUAUAUUAUUUUAUUCUAUUCUAUUCUGUACAGUUGUGUACUGUAUUUAUUCUUAUCGUAUUCUAAUUUUUGCGUCAUAACUUUUGCACUGUCCACUUCCUGCUGUGACAAAACAAAUUUCCCACGUGUGGGACUAAUAAAGGUUAUCUUAUCUUAUCUUAUCUUAUCCUAAACACAGGUGAGUUGAAAGAUCUACUGAAGAAACCAUUCAUUAAGUCCCUUAAGAUGAAGAUUUCAUAUAUUGAUAAUGAUAAAAUUAACACAAAUUAAAAGUUUCACUGAUAAACACACAAUUUUUCCUUGCUUUGAACCCCAUGUUCUAUAUAGAUCACAGCUCUGAUCUGGAGAACACUAUUUUAAAAUACUGUGUAGGGUUUUUGUCAAAUGAUUAAGAAACAGACUCUCUGUCACAAGAGACAGAAAGGUUGUAUCUUAAAAGAAAAGUCUCCAAAAUUUAGUAGAGUCUGAUGUCAUGCAGUUUCAUAAACAUGUAUUCUCCCCAAAGAAUGACACCUGAAAACUUUGCGUUAAAUGAACUUUUCUUUUCCCUUUUUAGGAGGCGCCUGAUAUCAACGUGAAACGCACUGCAGUACUUCAUGCCCUUCCUGUAUACCUGCGGGAGGAGGACCCAGAAUUCUUUUAGACAUGUAAUGCGGACGCAUUGGAUGAGUCGACCCUCAUUGACACUUCAGUUGCCCUUCUCACAGUGGUUACCGAUGGCGCUUCCCAGUCCAGUCCAUUUUACUUCCUCAAGCAUGGCUGUUUUGGUGAAAGGCGACUAGGUGAUGCGUGAUAUUCCCAGAUUUGCAAAUGCAUUUGCUUUAUUGUUUGGCUUGAUCUAUGCUCUGCAUUUAGACUACCCCAGGAAGCUGGUUCACACAUUUGCCUUAGUCCAAAAUAUCUUCAUGGGGCUUGAUGACGGCAAACCCCUGAAACCCCUGCCUACAUGCUCUUAAGGAAUAUAAGGCAAUGUUUGUUAGGACACGCACUCUGUUACUGAGCACUUUGUUUGAAGCAUUUUAAGCACUUUAAGUUUACUACAGGCUUUGAGUGGAUUUAACUCCAUCAGUUUACCUAAUUUUCCUAUACUUGACUGCCUUAUCUGGUUAUUUGGAAGCUGAUCGUCUUUGUACCCAUUUUAAAAAAAUGUUUUUCAUUUCUAUUUUAAAAAAAGUGAUUAGUAUUUGACUUUUUGUUUUGCAUUUUUGUGUAUUUUGAGAAAGAUGCAAUUAGGACUGAUGUCGUCCUUUGUGAUUUUAUAAAAAGAUAAAUGUUCUACACAGAAUUUAUAAUGCUCACUUUAUGGUGCCGAUGUCCAUGUUAGUUGUUUUAUAAAAACAUUUGUGAUGUUUUUAAAUUUUCAUGAAAAAAUGUUAAAUAAACAAAAUGUAAAGUAACUGAAUUUCCGUGCUUUUUUUUUUUUUUAGUAGUCUACACUCA
ensembl:lncRNA